AGGAUGGCUGCGCGCGCGUUUGAGCGCUCGCGCGCGGCGACCUGUAUGUCGCCUUCUUUUUUUCUUUUUUAAAUGUAACCUGGUUUAUUGGGCUCUCGGCGUAUUCUUGCGUUCCUUCUGCACUGGGACAAGACACCACUGCACUAUUGGACUACGGCAAGCUGGUGCCGUCCGGUGGAGCUUCAUACAGGAACUACUGCCUUACCUGCUGGUGUCACAACGUUGGAUGAACGCACAAAAAGCGCGGAACGAGCUUUUAUAUAGAGCAAAAUAAAUAUUUCCUCAUUGCACAAAA